UUGAACUGUACCAUUUGGGCUUCAUCUACUUUUCUUUGUUUCUCAGACUGUCUUCUAUUUGUCUUAUGCUGCCAAAUUAACUUUGGACAUGAAGAGGAUGUUGGCCCUCGAUCUUACCCACACAAUCAUACACGCACUCGGCUGAAGGUUGAGGAAGGGGUGAGGACAGAGCAGACACACGCACAGCACAGCACGAACACAGCAGCUCUGCUGCUUCAGAGGAAUGCAUCUCCGCUUCCAUUCUGUGGAGGCACAGAUUUCCAAUGAAGAAAAGAAUCGUCUCCGACCAGUGGUGCUCCAUUCUACAAAUGGCCAGAGCAGGGAUUAGCUAAUUCCGGGGCUUCUACAAAAGAAAGGAGAGGGCUACCGCUCAUCUUCUGUUUUCUGUUUUCCUCCUACUUGUUUCUUCUGCCUCUUCACUAGCUCUAGCUAGCUUUACUCAAGCAACAAAACGUUGCUCUGCAUCUGUAACAACACAAUCGUGCGAGCCGUUUCUGGGCUAAAAUAAUUUUAAACAGGUGGGGAACGUCUCCCCCCCGUUGACCGUCAAAAAAAAAAAAACUACGAGUACCAUAUAAGGUACAAUCUACUCCUAUGUCCUCUAGGAUAUGGCUGACAUCAGCCCACUACAUUUACAAUUUUGACUAGAUGGCUUACUGCCAUUUUGCUACAGUACUAGUACACCCUUGUACUAGAUGCCACAAGUACAAUCUUGUACUAGAUGGCCUAUUGCCACCAGCAAACGGACAGCAGGGCUGACCAGCUGCUAAUCCUAAUCUGCAGCAAGCAAACAAAAGGGAGCAGCAAAUUAUCUUACAGAGGACUCUCUCACUUCAUAUCCUUUUUUCUUUUCAAAUAUUGACACGUUGAAUUCUCCUGUGGAUCUUGUUCUGUCUGUUUAGUGUCUCCUUUUUCUUUAAUAUUUUUAUGCAUAUGAACUUUGGAUGGAGCACUUUCCUAUGCCUUUAUAACUGACUGUUAGUAAAAGAGAUUGCUUCAUUUGUAUUCCCCAAUUUCCUGAGCUGUGUAUAAAACUGUAACUUCAGGAAGAGCUGGAAAAACUAAGAAGACAACUGUUGCUGUUGCACCUACAUUUGUCUGUGCUAAUUGUGCUAAGAAGAGAGGAGAGUUUUACACAAAAUUAGAAGAAAAGCGCAAGGCUUUGGAAGAGGAGAAGCUCCAAGCAGAGGCCAGAAAGAGGGUUUUGGAAACGAUCAGUACAGCAAUUUUUAUUAUUUCCAUCUUGCUUGGUUAGUGCGGUAAAAUGCAAGACAAGUUCAGAUAUGCUUGAAGCCUUGAAAUGAACUUUUCUGAAGGAAGAAGAAGAAGAAGCCCUAAGACAACUGAGGAAGAACAUGGUCGUCUGAGGAAAACCCAAGCCAAGCUUCUACCAAGAGGGGCCCCAGCUAAUGUGCCUCCAACUCGUGCCAAGUCACCAAAAUUAACACAGACAAAGAGCUGUGCAGUGACACCCCUCAGCAAAGGGAGGAAAUGGCAGUGCAGUAUGCUGCCAGUUGCAUUAUCACAACAUUGGGAACUCCAAAGAUGUUAGCAGCAAGGCACAAUGUUCUCCAAAGAGGGCUUCAAAGACUGGAUCAGCUACUAAAUCCAGGGAAGACCUGAAGGUUUCCAUGAAGAAAGUGGGACAGCCAAGCGCCGCAAACUUCGCUGUACAAACCUAACUCAUGAGGCAUUCACUCCCAUGCCAUUUUUCAUUUUAAUUUGUACCUCACAUCACGAAAAAGAUGGCCUCAUGCCCCGACACCAGUGUGUUUGUUGCUGGAUUAUUUUUGCAUUCUCCUUGUAAGAACCUGGCUACCAAUGUGCUGUUCGGUCCUGUAAAUUUGUUGAAGGUUUUGUAAGGGGUAACCGAGUCAGUCCUGUGAGAA